rnacentral:rRNA from 1 species
UGCCAGCAGCCGCGGUAAUACGGAGGAUGCAAGCGUUAUCCGGAUUUAUUAGGUUUAAAGGGUGCGUAGGCGGAAUUUUAAGUCAGUGGUGAAAUCUUGCAGCUUAACUGUAAAACUGCCAUUGAAACUAUUAUUCUUGAGUAUAGUUGAGGUGGGCGGAAUGUGUAGUGUAGCGGUGAAAUGCUUAGAUAUUACACAGAACACCGAUUGCGAAGGCAGCUCACUAAACUAUCACUGACGCUGAGGCACGAAAGCGUGGGGAGCGAACAGGAUUAGAUA